UUCAGACGAAGAGCAGGACUCCGACGAUGAACGUUUGUAUUUUGAAGAGCGACUUGAUCCAGCUGAGGAUAUAAUUUCUGAAGAGAAUGUGGCAGCAUCACUCUCCUCUUCAGCGGGCAUUUGCAGAAAUGCGACGGACAUUCAUACAGGGUAAGUCACAUUUGCGGGCUUUUCUGUUUUAUUAGUAGACUUUUACUGAUGUUUUGCGUAGUAAUUUGGAAAAUACAAGAUGUAUAUAUAUAAACAUAUCUGUAUUUUCCGAAAAUACAUGAUACAAAUAAUGUUUUUAAUUUUUUUUUAGUAACGUGGCUUCAUCAUCAUUUACUCGCACGGGGGCAUGCAGAAACGAACCCGAAAUAAAUAAAGUGAUACAAUUUAUAUAUAUAUUUUUUAAGGUAAAAUGUAAGGCAAAAUUUGUUUAAUUAUUCCUCAUAACAUUUUUAUGCCACGAUCUACAGAACA